rnacentral:tRNA from 1 species
GGCAGAGGUCUGCAACACCUUCACCACCGGUUCAAAUCCGGUUGUCGCCU